UGAGGGCAAUUUGGCUGCAACUGUUACCCCAUCAGUCCCCAGAGCUGAUGCUGUUUAUUUAUCUGGCUAGGCCAGUGUCUCCUUCUCAGACCACUCAAUGUUCAUCCCCUUGGAGCUGCACACUUGGAGAUAGAGGUUGGUGUUCUCCGGACAAAGACACAAGAGUAGCUAUUCUCCCAUUCCAGAACCUCCAAACAAGCUCUCAGGAAUAAGACUCAUGCCCAGCAUGGUGGCACAGGCCUGUAAUCCCAGCGCUCAGAAGGAAGAGCCAGACAGAUCUCUGAGAAAGAGGCCAGCCUGGUCU
rnacentral:snRNA from 1 species